rnacentral:rRNA from 1 species
GACGAACGCUGGCGGCGUGCCUAAUACAUGCAAGUAGAACGCUGAAGGAGGAGCUUGCUCUUCUGGAUGAGUUGCGAACGGGUGAGUAACGCGUAGGUAACCUGCCUUGUAGCGGGGUAUAACUAUUGGAAACGAUAGCUUAUACCGCAUAAGAGUAGAUGUCGCAUGACAUUUGCUUAAAAGGUACAAUUGCAUCACUCCCAGAUGCACCUGCGUUGUAUUAGCUAGUUGGUGAGGUAACGGCUCACCAAGGCAGCGAUACAUAGCCGACCUGAGAGGGUGAUCGCCCACACUGGGAGUGAGACACGGCCCAGACUCCUACGGGAGGCAGCAGUAGGGAAUCUUCGGCAAUGGACGGAAGUCUGACCGAGCAACGCCGCGUGAGUGAAGAAGGUUUUCGGAUCGUAAAUCUCUGUUGUAAGAGAAGAACGAGUGUGAGAGUGGAAAGUUCACACUGUGACGGUAUCUUACCAGAAAGGGACGGCUAACUACGUGCCAGCAGCCGCGGUAAUACGUAGGUCCCGAGCGUUGUCCGGAUUUAUUGGGCGUAAAGAGAGCGCAGGCGGUUAGAUAAGUGUGAAGUUAAAGGCUGUGGCUUAACCAUAGUACGCUUUGGAAACUAUUUAACUUGAGUGCAAGGGGGGAGAGUGGAAUUCCAUGUGUAGCGGUGAAAUGCGUAGAUAUAUGGAGGAACACCGGUGGCGAAAGCGGCUCUCUGGCUUGUAACUGACGCUGAGGCUCGAAAGCGUGGGGAGCAAACAGG